AAGACAUGGGCCCUUCACAAAACAGCUAAAGAGUUUAAGGAUUGUUGUGUUACUCUUUUUCUCUCGCUCUCAGGGGGAUACACAUUCUUAGCUGAAUAUUGAGCGUGACUAUCUACAGAUUCUACUCAAUUGGGACUCCUGGGGGAGUCCCAAUUGUUGCCUAUAGACCUACACUACUAAGAGGGCGACCGAAGACUGUUGGAACGCGGUUGGAACCUCAAUCUGCACUCAUCCGAAAGACCACCACAUCCAAUCCUAUCUCCAAGGCCUUACAAGUCACAUCCUUCCUACCGGCCUUACAAGCCCUAACUCCAUUCCAAGCCCUCCCCCGUGUGCCUCUGUUCGUUCCCGUGUUCAACUGUGUAAUAAAUACCCCUAAACCUGGAUUACUGCUACAUCUCUGGAUUCACAUUCUGACUGAUCCACCAUGGUGGCAGAAACAGUCCUGAACGUAGCUUAGUCUGUCCUUGUCCUUUUCUUCUGUUUCCUUCCUAAAAGUAAUCAUUGGCGUGAGAAUUUGCAUACAAUGUAAGCAAUAGGUUUCACUACAAAGCCCUCAAGAAUCCAGUCAUGUCAAUAAGUUAUUCACAACAACUGUAGGUAGAGGGGAAGGAUGCAUGCAUUUAAAUAGUAUUUAAACAGGUCCUAACUCAUAUGAAAGGACUGUACUACUCACAAAUGUACUGGGGGGUGCCACUCAUGCACCUGUACUCCUCCCCCGACUGCAAGCAGUGGGCCAGCCCAAAGUCAAUGAUCUUAAUGUCGGGGUUUGGUGCCAUCUUGUCCGACAGCAUGAUGUUUUCUGGCUGAUCGUGGAAGGGGAGUACACAUUUUACAUGCAAAAUUUGGACAAUCUGACCAUAAAGGUCAGCAACAUGCUGACCGACCGGACCGUGAACAGCAUGUUCUUCAACACCCUAGUGCACAGGCACACUCUCUUUAGUGGCAGCUGUGGAUACAAACAUGAGCAUGCGACAUGGACGUUUGCACUAAUAAGUAGCUGUGUCAGCAUGUUUGUGUGGUUUUGGGAUGGAUGAAUACAGAUAUGCUCUUUUCACAUUAAGCACUCAUACCUAAAAGCCUAGGAUUUUGGAUUCAAUAAAUGAACAAGCUGUGUAGUACUAUUUUUAUGUGUAAUACUACUUUAGCAGUGUUAUUGGGGAGGUUAGUGUAAACCACUACUACAGACUAUUGCAGCACUGGAUUCUUAAAUAUCAUAGAGUGAGAACAAACUAAAGAAGUUGGAUCAUAUGUCAAAUCAACACUAGCAUAAUUUACCUUUAAGUCAAAAUGGCCUAUUUGUUUGUUGUGCAUAAAGCCCACGCCCAGUAGUAUCUGCUUCAUGAAGUCGAUGGCGUCGCUCUCAGUCAGGUUCUCCUUCUCAGCAAUGAAGUCAAACAGCUCUCCUCCACUAAUACUGAAAGAGGAACGAGGAGAAAUAGAGAGGUGUCGGAACUUAAAGGAAAGUUCCCCCAAUAAACUUAUGGUAUUUGUUUCAUUAGUCCAUUGUUGAUAUAGACCUAAAAUGUUUUGCAUGUCAGCAAUAAGGUUUAAGAUAUAACUUUCAAAAUACAGAAAUACAGGCAGUGUGAUGCAUUUAGCAUCAUAUGAUCUGAAACGCAUCAUUAGGCUUGGGUGGU